UAGGCUGAACUUAUGUAUGGAGUGUCCUGAUGAUACUUCCAUUGCCACUUAAUAACUGGAUGAGCUUGGGAAGCAGGACCUCACUCCCCUCCUGUCUUCCCUUCUGGCCUUCCUGGUAGCCAUAACCAUGUACAAAUACGUGACCAUGAGAUGUUCCUGCCUGAUGUCCAGUGGCUCAGGGACCACAUCUGGACCUCAUCAAGACACCAUCAGCCCAUCAUCUGAACUUACAGCGCUCAAGGCAGCACUAAAUUCUGGAGAAGUGUGAGAACUCGAACUACUGAGGUCAAAGGAAGUGACACCAAGUGGCAGAGGAGAGUAUCCCAUCCAUACUCUGGGGGAAUGAGUGCUGACAUCAUGAAGCCCCCCUUAAAAAUCCAAGAGGACUGGGUUCCUGGAGCUUCUGGAUAGAUGAAGACGUGGAGUUUUCUAGAGGAUGGUGCACCCAGGGAGGGCAUGGAAGCUCUGUGCCCCUUUCCCCAUACCUCACCCUAUGUGUCUCUUCAUCUGUAUCCUUUGCAAUAUCCUUUAUAAUAAACAAGUAAAUGUAAGUAAGUGUUUCCCUGAGUUCUGAGAGCCACUCUAGCAAAUUAAUCAAACCCAAAGAGGGGAUCAUGGGAACAACUUGAAGCCGGUCAGUCAGAAGUUCCAGAGUCCCAGACUUGAGGCUGGUGUGUGUGUGUUGAGUAGGAGAAGUCUUGGGGACUGAGCCCUCAAAUUGUGGGAUCUGACAUUAUCUCUGGUUAGAUAAUGUUGCAACUAAAUUAGAGGACACCCAGCUGGUAUCUGCUGCUUGAUGUUUGCAGAAAAAAAACCCACACAUUUGAUCACGGAAGUCUUCUGUGUUGGUUGUUAAUAUGGUGUGAGACUAGAGGGGAAAUGUGGUUAUAGAGAAUUUUCCAUCUACACCAUCUCAUAGAGCUGUUGUUGGGGUCAGCUGCUUUGGUACAUGCCAAGUGCUAAGUAUCAGCUUUCACUGUUCACAAAAUUAACAGUUUUGUAAAUGCUUUGGGUAAAAAUAAGGUGAUGAACUUUCAAAAAUGUGAAUUUCUUCUGCUUUUUAAGCAUUUAAGAAACUGUAAUAUUUGACUUCUGAUUUUAAUCAAAUGCUUAAAAGUACAAUUUUUCAACAAUUAGUAAGAAUUUACAUAAAUUUAACUAAACUCUUAGGCUUCAAAUUUCUAUUGUUUUAUUUAUUUAGAGAAUGUUUAAAGGAGCAAUCAUUAAAGGAAGGGA
rnacentral:lncRNA from 1 species